GAUGAAGAACGUAGCGAAAUGCGCUAAGUAAUGUGAAUUGCAGAAUUCAGUGAAUCAUCGAAUCUUUGAACGCACAUUGCGCCCGCUAGUAUUCUGGCGGGCAUGCCUGUCCGAGCGUCAUUUCAACCCUCAAGCCCCCGGGCUUGGUGUUGGGGAUCGGCGAGCCUCCGCGCCCGCCGUCCCCUAAAUCUAGUGGCGGUCUCGCUGUAGCUUCCUCUGCGUAGUAGCACACCUCGCACUGGGAAACAGCGCGGCCACGCCGUUAAACCCCCAACUUCUGAACGGUUGACCUCGGAUCAGGUAGGAAUACCCGCUGAACUUAAGCAUAUCAAUAAGCGGAGGA
rnacentral:misc_RNA from 1 species